UUUUCCCGGCCAAAUUGGACUUGGCCACAAGUAUAAAACUUGCUCUACUCAUUGAGAUCUUCAUUUUGUGAAAUUUGAGAAUUUUUGGAAUUAGUUGAAAUUUUUCAGUGAGUCGGGGCGGCGUGUGCGGCGGCACAUGGCUAGAAUGACGAUAUUGUUUUUUAAAAGCUAAUUACAAUGUUCUGAGUCCAUAUUUAAAAUAUAUUUGAUGUGGAUCAAUUGUUUGGACCAAAUUUGUGAUUGUUAGUCACUUAAAUAUCGAAGAUAAUGAAUUAGGAAGUAGAAUGUGAACUACGAAAUGUUUGAUCCCGCUCAAGGAUACGUAGGCAGUCUAACAGUGUUAGAUGUAGCCUUAAAUGAUCGAGACAAAUAUGUGAUUGAGAAAUUGAGAUAAAUAAGAAAUUUGGUGUUUGUUAUAAAAUCAAAUCUUAUGUAUUGAUAAUUAAAUUUUGGUUAUAGAUUUUGUGAACAAUUAAUAAAUUUAAGUAAGGAAUUAUAAAUUAUGGUAAUUAAACAAUUGAGUUUGAUCUCUUGUUGGGAAAUUAGAAUGAAGAGAAGGAAUUGGUGCAAAAAUUAAAAAUAUAAACAUAAGUUUUGCUAAAUACAUUUGGUGGUAUACUUAUGUAAGUAAUUAGGAAAUUUUAAGUAAAGAAUAAUGUGUAUUGGUAAUAAAUUAAACAAAAAUGUUGAAUUAGGCCUAUCAUUGAAAUUAUUUCCCGAAAUUAAAUAUUUCGGGGCGAUUGUUACAGCGGGGCUAGGACAGACGCCCCUGCACGCCUACGC
rnacentral:lncRNA from 1 species